AUAAAGCAUCAGGAGCGGUUUCAAGUUGAAACCCGCCAACCGAACUUAGAAAAAUCAAAGUUACGGUGGUUUGAUCCUUAAACGGUAGAUGUGCCUAGGAAAAUAGGAAACAUGAUUAGCCGC
rnacentral:ncRNA from 10 species